ACUCAAAGGAAUUGACGGGGACCCGCACAAGCAGUGGAGCGCCCGGUUUAAUUCGAUGGUCAGCGAAGAACCUCACCUGGGCUUGAACUGUAGCUGCAUGCCUCUUGAAAAAGAGGAGGCUUUCGAAGGUGCUACAGAGGUGGUGCAUGGCUGUCGUCAGCUCGUGUCGUGAGAUGUCGGGUUAAGUCCCACAACGAGCGCAACCCCUAUUCCGUGUUACAAUUACUCGGAAGACUGCCUCGCUUAAACGGGGAGGAAGGAGGGGAUGACGUCCAGUCAUCAUGUCCCUUAUGUCCAGGGCUACACGGACGCUACAAUGGCUAUUACAAUGGGUUGCCAAACCGCGAGGUGGAGCUAAUCCCAUCAAAAAUAGUCUCAGUUCGGAUUGCAGGCUGCAACUCGCCUGCAUGAAGUCGGAAUUGCUAGUAAUCGCGUAUCAGCAUGGCGCGGUGAAUACGUUCUCGGGUCUUGUACACACCGCCCGU
rnacentral:rRNA from 1 species